rnacentral:rRNA from 1 species
UACGUAGGCAGCGAGCGUUGUUCGGAGUUACUGGGCGUAAAGGGCGCGUAGGCGGCAAAUUAAGUCAGCUGUGAAAUCUCCGAGCUUAACUCGGAACGGUCAGCUGAUACUGAUCUGCUAGAGUGCGGAAGGGGCAAUCGGAAUUCUUGGUGUAGCGGUGAAAUGCGUAGAUAUCAAGAGGAACACCUGAGGUGAAGACGGGUUGCUGGGCCGACACUGACGCUGAGUGCGCGAAAGCCAGGGGAGCAAACGGG